GAUGGCUAUAUCAUGUUGAAACACCAGUUCUUAUCUGAUCACUGAAAUUAAGUAAUGUUGAGUUUUGUUAAUACUGAGAAGAGUGAGCACUUGGGAAGACCAGGUGCUGUAAG